GCCGAUGAUGAGCUAAUCCGCCACUGAGCGGUGAUGAGGGCCACGGAUCUGAGG
rnacentral:snoRNA from 1 species